AUAUAUUUUUCAGUUGCAAUGAAUGUAAGGAACAAAUUGGAGGCUCUUCACAUGGAUUCUUAUCUACGAAUCGAGUAGCAACAGAAAUCGAUGGAGCGAGAUAUGAAGCUUAGACAGAACAAGCAAAAAUGGAUGAUUAUGUUUUAAAUUAAGGUAUUUUGGACACUAUAACAUAACCAUAACCGCGAAGAAAUAUGUUAGGUACUACGAUUGUUUCAAAUAAAAAUAUUAAGUAUUGUUACUUUAGAUUUAUGUUUAGUUUGUAUUUUGAUUUAUAACAAAUAAAGUAUUUUUAAUGUC
rnacentral:lncRNA from 1 species